CCCCGGCUGGAGGGAGCGAGGACGCCGGCGGGGCGGAGGCCGAGGAGGGCAGCGUGGUGCUGGAGGGGGAGUUCAGCAUGGCCGACUGCACCCCCCUCAGCCUGGCAGAGCCAGGCCUCCUACAGUACCUGAACCCCGCGACGGAGCUGGUGCUGUGGACCCCCCCGGGUAGCCAGGUGCCCCACUCCAUCCGGACCCUCAUGCUGCCCCCCAGCGCCCUAGCUGACCCCCCGCUGCUCUCCCCAGGCCGGGGGCAGGGGGUGCGGCCGGAGGAGAUGGAGCUGUGAUGCAGGACCAUUCCCCAUCCCAGCGGGGGAGACGCUGGGUAUGGACUCACCCCAGACAGACCCACAGGGGCUGGACGCACCCUGUCGCCAGCGCAGCGAGCUUCCCCGCAGCAGUGCCCCGAGCUGGGGCGUCCCCACCACUGCGACCACAAGAUGAACUGUACUGAAGUUUGUGCGUCUCGCCCGCUGCCCGGGAGUCAAUAAAGGAGGAGAGAGCCCUGA